rnacentral:rRNA from 1 species
GACGUAGGGCGCGAGCGUUGUCCGGAUUUAUUGGGCGUAAAGAGCUCGUAGGCGGCUUGUCGCGUCGUCCGUGAAAACCUGGGGCUCAACUCCAGGCUUGCGGUCGAUACGGGCAGGCUCGAGUUCGGUAGGGGAGACUGGAAUUCCUGGUGUAGCGGUGAAAUGCGCAGAUAUCAGGAAGAACACCCGUGGCGAAAGCGGCUCUCUGGAACGGUACUGACGCUGAGACGCGAAAGCGUGGGGAGCGAACAGG